rnacentral:rRNA from 1 species
UACGGAGGGGCAAGCGUUGUCCGGCAUUAUUGGGCGUCAAGAGCGUGUAGGCGGUCCGGUCAGUCGGCUGUGAAAGUCCAGGGCUCAACCCUGGGAUGCCGGUCGAUACUGCCGGACUAGAGUUCGGAAGAGGCGAGUGGAAUUCCCGGUGUAGCGGUGAAAUGCGUAGAUAUCUGGAGGAACACCGGUGGCGAAGGCGGCAUCCUGGACCGACACUGACGCUGAGGAGCGAAAGCCAGGGGAGCAAACGGG